rnacentral:piRNA from 1 species
UAUCAAAAGGCCUGGUACUUUAAUUGUGGG